GCGUCGAUCCAGCCAAUUUGAACAACUUCCUGGUCCGGGAAAAUCUGACAUUAUCGCGAUAGACAGCUUGUUCGUAUGCAAUUCAGCGGCAGGGGCCCAAUGCUGGAAUGCGAAACAAUAAGUUAUUUAGUCAAAACAAAUCAUUGACGAACCUCAGCGUACCAUUUCGGAAAUAUCAGCUCUCCUCGGGACUCAGCUAUGGUCCGAGACAUGAGGGAGACUCCUAACAUAUGGGGAUGAGACGGGAUCGAUUAUUUCAGCUUUCGCAGCUUUGGGCUCGUUGACUCUCUGUGUUGGCUCAGGAUGGCGCAGGGAGGGUCUCAGCCUGACUACCACAUCCUGCAGGACCUCAAACAGCUCUUCCCAGAGAUCCCAGAGGGGGUAGUGUCACAGUGCCUUCUGCAGAACAACAAUAACCUGGAUCUUUGCUGCCGCCUGCUGGCUCAGGAGAGUAAUAGAUACCUGUAUGGGGAGUUCCAUCACAGUCCAGAGGAGGGGCGAUUAAAUCGAAACCACAUGCUACACAUUAGCCUGGGAUACCCAGGCUCAGAGGCAAGCAAGGCAAAUGGAGGAGCAGCAGUAGGAGGACGCUCCCUUGUACACAGCACCAGUGACAGUCACAUCGAACCCCAGCGGCCCAGCUACCCUGAGCCACUGUCAGCCCCUGCCACCAUGGCCCCCUCCCCGGGUUAUAAUCCUUUCUUCAUGAAUGAACAGAGCCGCUCGGCUAGCACUCCCACUCCUCCACCCACAAUGCAGGGCAUGUCUCCCACAUACGCCCCUGUCCCACGUUACUCUAUGAACCCCAUAACAGUCACACUUCCGCAGCAAAGUAUACCUAAUGUCCCACAGGCUCUGCAGAUCCCCCCAGGGCACUACGCAAACACCAACACCACCCUGUAUAUUAGACCCUCACCUUCCCAGAGCCCACAGCCAGCACCCUGGUCCUCUUCAGGGGCGCCUGUGUAUCAGCAUCAGCAGUCCCCCUACAGUACUCCCACAUACGGCUCACCUUACAGCUCCCCGCAGCAUCAGGUUCAGCCCCAGCCACAGCCCCAGCCACAACCCCAGCACCAGCAAUAUGUCUUUCUCCCUAUUAGCUCCCCAACCCUUCCCAGCAUGCCCUACCAUCACCAGCAACAGCCCCAGGCACAGCCAGCUGUUUACAGGCCCUACCACACAAAAAGCUCCCUCAAGAAUCAGAUAGAGAUUACCCUGGAGGGUCCACGACCUCGCAGCAACUCACCUGUGCACACCCCACAUCCUCAGGGAGCAAUUUACAUGGCCACCAGCCCCUCGCCCAGCUCCCCCUCGAGGGGUAUCACUAUGACUGGACCUUCAGGCCCGGCAUCCUUCCACCCUGGGAUGUAUCUGCAGCAUCCGGGCCCUGCAAGACCUCGUCCUGCCUCCUCUCCUCAACCGGGCCAGUCAGCAUACACCUUUAAAAUCAAAGUGUCCCCAGGAGGCCAGCCCCAGAGGCCACUCAGCUCACCUCCUGUUGCCGAGGCAGAGUCUCUUCUCAACAUAGUAGACCAAGGGGAGCACAACGCUGCCCCUGCACCCAUCCUGCCCAUCUCCGCUCUGCCAGGGAACAUUGUCAGUCAGUUUCAGCAUAUGCCCCGACGUUCAAGCUCAGGGUCUGAUGACUAUGCCUAUACACAAGCUCUCCUGCUCCACCAGCGGGCCAGGAUGGAGCGUCUAAUGAAGGAGCUGCUACUGGAGAAGCAGAAACUAGAGAACCUGAAGGCCGAUGUCAACAAUAUGGAAUAUGACGCCCUUCAAAGACGCUUUCGACGAGUCAACUCCUCCAGUCUUAUACCCAGACCUGAAGAGAUGACCCGAUUGCGGAGUCUGAACAGACAGCUUCAGAUUGAUAUCGACUGUACCCUGAAGGAGACAGAUCUACUGCAGUCUAGAGGUUGGUCUACUCCGGCAAUGUACGGCCACAUACUUGCAGACUCUUUGCGGUUAGCGCAAAAUUCUCCUGUGUGGUACCUGGCUUGAUAAAGGAAGUUUGAUCCAAAUGCAAUGAACAACUUUUAUGACAACAUUCAGCCCGGUCCAGUUGUGCCACCCAAACCUGGAAAGAAAGAAGUGGAGCAGGUCCCCAAGCCAGUGCCGGGGCCCCAGAGGGACGAGGACUUUGAAGGUGCCCAGUGGAACUGUGAAAGCUGCACCUUCCUCAACCACCCUGCACUCAAUCGCUGUGAACAGUGCGAGAUGCCGCGCUACACCUGAGCUUAGCGCUGUGCUGUAUUGCCCACCCCUGCCCUAUCCCAUGCCAAUCCUUGGAUAGUAUAAGCCACACUCCUCCAAAAUCUGCAGAAUCUGUCUAGAGGUCUUCCUCUGUCGAUCAAUAUAUAAGCUCCUCUUACCUGCUGAGGAAGAGCCACUAUCCCUCUCUGCCCACUUGUCCUGCUCCCAUCUACUACUCCUGUGCACUUUGACUCUUUUUAAAUUGGAGGAGGAUGAUUCUUAUUCAGGACAGUUGGAGACUCUUCUCAUGGCAAAAGUAUAAAAGAGGGAGUGACAUGACACACUGCGACUCUGGCAGUUGGUGGGCCGCAGCUUCAGAAAGGUUGAAGCAAUUGAGGAGGACGAGGAGCUACGGUUUACCUAGAGAACAUUCCACGCAGAAACAGUGACUGCCCAGUUUACACAACCGCUCCCAUUCCUGAACUCAAAAUGGAGGCACUUCCACUUUAAUCUAGGACCUGUAACUCCCUCUCUUGACAGUGGAACAAUGAAAGCAAUGGUAUAUACAUUCUGACUAAUGCGAAAUGUAGACUGUACACUGUAUUAGGCUCUGUAUUAGAGCUAAUUUCACUGAAAGAUGAACACUAAAGACAUUUGCAUAGGAGUAUAUUCCUGGUACUUUUAUGCAUAUUGUGCCACCGUGUAUUAUGUGUUCAGAAGAUGUUAAUUUCCUGUGCAAAUGCCUCAACUUGCUGUAGUUAAUAAAGGAGCUGAUUCUAUGUGA